AACUUGGACACAGGUGCUGCAUGGCUGUCGUCAGCUCGUGCCGUGAGGUGUUGGGUUAAGUCCCGCAACGAGCGCAACCCUCACCCUUAGUUGCCAUCAUUAAGUUGGCACCCUAAGGGAACUGCCGCAGUUAAUGCGGAGGAAGGUGGGGAUGACGUCAAGUCCUCAUGGCCCUUAUAUCCAGGGCUACACACGUGCUACAAUGGACGGUACAAAGGGUCGCGAACCUGCAAAGGGGAGCUAACCCCAGAAAACCGCUCUCAGUUCGGAUUGGAGUCUGCAACCCGACUCCAUGAAGUUGGAAUCGCUAGUAAUCGCGGAUCAGAACGCCGCGGUGAAUACGUUCCCGGGCCUU
rnacentral:rRNA from 1 species